rnacentral:antisense_RNA from 1 species
ACAUGUGAUGUCUCCCCCGGACGCCCAGCUUUAAAAUUUCUCUCUUUUGUACUCUGUCCCUUUAUUUCUCAAGCCAGCCGAAGCUUAGGAAAAUAGAAAAGAACCUACGUGAUUAUCGGGGUAGUAACCCAAGAGUACCCACUCAGGACCAUGGCUCAGGCAGGAACCUGGGAUGCAAGGAUGGAUGGCGCAUGGUCCUCCCUCCAGGAGAUAACAGUGUAGGAAAAUCAAUGAGGACCCAUAGUGAGCCCCUCCAUCCCACAUACCCCCUCCUCUAUCCACCUGUGGAUGCUGCAGCCUGGACUUCUGCAUCAGCAUCUGUGUGGAGGUCUGUUACCCUGAGAUCUGCAGCCAGGGCAGGGGGCCGUGCCCAGGAACAAGGGAGACUGGCUGCUGGCUGUCCUCUUACUGCUGGGCCUGUCCCUUCCAAUCAGCGCCCGGGGCUCUGAGCGCAUUGCUUUGCUGGUGUCUGUGAGCAGCUGGAGAUGGUGGUGAACGGUCUGUUUGCAUUUCUUGGAAGAAGAUCUUUUCCUCUGCUGCUCAACCCAGGUCUCUGCCUUCCUUAGAGACUGAGGCCCAUCCUUCAGUUUCCCUGAUUCUGGAAGAGCAGGGGGGUUGAAUGGAGCAGGAGGUCAUGAUGGAGACUUGGGCCCCAGCAUCCCGCAGCAUUUGCAGCGCCUCCUUAUAUAGG